rnacentral:rRNA from 1 species
AUUAGGGAAGAACAAAUGAUGGAAAAAUCAUUCUGACGGUACCUAAUGAAUAAGCCCCGGCUAACUAUGUGCCAGCAGCCGCGGUAAUACAUAGGGGGCAAGCGUUAUCCGGAAUUAUUGGGCGUAAAGGGUGCGUAGGCGGUUAAAUAAGUUUAUGGUCUAAGUGCAGUGCUCAACAUUGUGAUGCUAUAAAAACUGUUUAGCUAGAGUAAGAUAGAGGCAAGUGGAAUUCCAUGUGUAGUGGUAGAAUGCGUAAAUAUAUGGAGGAACACCAGUAGCGAAGGCGGCUUGCUGGGUCUUUACUGACGCUGAGGCACGAAAGCGUGGGGAGCAAACAGGAUUAGAUACCCUGGUAGUCCACGCCGUAAACGAUGAGUACUAAACGUUGGGUAAAACCAGUGUUGAAGUUAACACAUUAAGUACUCCGCCUGAGUAGUACGUACGCAAGUAUGAAACUUAAAGGAAUUGACGGGACUCCGCACAAGCGGUGGAUCAUGUUGUUUAAUUCGAAGGUACCCGAAAAACCUCACCAGGUCUUGACAUGCUUCUGCAAAACUGUAGAAACACAGUGGAGGUUAUCAGUUGCACAGGUGGUGCAUGGUUGUCGUCAGCUCGUGUCGUGAGAUGUUGGGUUAAGUCCCGCAACGAGGCAACCUCUAUUGUUAGUUACCAGCACGUAAUGGUGGGGACUUUAGCAAGACUGCCAGUGAUAAAUUGGAGGAAGGUGGGGACGACGUCAAAUCAUCAUGCCCCUUAUGACCUGGGCUACAAACGUGAUACAAUGGCUGUUA